rnacentral:rRNA from 1 species
GGACUACUAGGGUUUCUAAUCCUGUUUGCUCCCCACGCUUUCGCGUCUCAGUGUCAGUACCGUCCCAGCGAGCUGCCUUCGCCAUUGGUGUUCCUCCCGAUAUCUGCGCAUUUCACCGCUACACCGGGAAUUCCACUCGCCUCUUCCGGACUCUAGCUCGACAGUAUCCGCCCGCCUCCCGGGGUUGAGCCCCGGACUUUCAGAGCGGACUUAUCGAGCCACCUACACGCUCUUUACGCCCAAUGAUUCCGGACAACGCUUGCCCCCUACGUAUUACCGCGGCUGCUGGCAC